GCGAUUAUGGCGGAAUUGGUAGACGCGCUAGUUUCAGGUACUAGUUGGGGCAACUCAGUGGAAGUUCGAGUCUUCUUAAUCGCACCA
rnacentral:tRNA from 1 species